rnacentral:lncRNA from 1 species
UCAAUAAUAACUAAAGAAUGAAAGAAACUAUAAAAAAUAUAUAUACUACUAUAACAUUUUUGGACUGCAUGAAAAACUAAAAUAAACACAUAACUGUUUAAGAAGUAAUGAAGGGUGAAAACAUGAAUGUGAGGAAUGAAGAACAAGACACUUGAACAUGUGAGGAUCAAGCUGAUUAUCCAUUCACCAAUAAUUGCAAACAAAAUUGUUGUAGAAGCGUAGGCUUGAUUGAAAGUUGGAUUAUAUCGAUGAGAUAUGUAUAUAGAGAUACUUGCUUGUUUUUGGUUAUGAUGGAAGAUAUAUUUGGUGAGAAAUGUGAUAAGAGAAGAUAAUAAAAUUGCAAGAAAGUAUUUCAUACUAAU